rnacentral:rRNA from 1 species
CCCUUAGAUGUUCUGGGCCGCACGCGCGCUACACUGACUGCUCCAACAAGUUACCUGGGCUGACAAGCAUCCGGGAAAUCUUGCAAAGGCAGUCGUGAUGGGGAUAGAUUCUUGUAAUUUUUGAUCUUCAACGAGGAAUUCCUAGUAAACGCAAGUCAUCAGCUUGCAUUGAUUACGUCCCUGCCCUUUGUACGCACCGCCCGUCGCAUCUACCGAUUGAAUGGAGAGGCAAAAUCUUCGGACCGUGACGCUUGGGAGUCAAAUCUCGGGCUGUCGUGGGAAGUGGAUUAAACCUUUCUAUUUAGAGGAAGGUAAAGUCGUAACA